GAGUUUGAUCUUGGCUCAGAUUGAACGCUGGCGGCAGGCUUAACACAUGCAAGUCGAGCGGGGGAGAUUGCUUCGGUAAUUGACCCAGCGGCGGACGGGUGAGUACUACUUAGGAAUCUGCCUAUUAAUGGGGGACAACAUCUCGAAAGGGAUGCUAAUACCGCAUACGCCUACGGGGAGGAGCAGGGGAUCACUUGUGACCUUGCGUUAAUAGAUGAGCCUAAGUCGGAUUAGCUAGUUGGUGGGGUAAAGGCCGUACCAAGGCGACGAUCUGUAGCGGGUCGUGAGAGGAUGAUCCGCCACA
rnacentral:rRNA from 1 species